UACGGGGGGUGCGAGCGUUGUCUGGAAUCACUGGGCGUAAAGGGCGCGUAGGUGGUUUGAUAAGGGUGUGGUGAAAGUCCGGAGCUCAACUCCGGAUCUGCCGUGCCGACUGUCAAACUCGAGGGCUGUAGAGGCAGACGGAAUUCCGGGUGUAGCGGUGGAAUGCGUAGAGAUCCGGAGGAAGACCGGUGGCGAAGGCGGUCUGCUGGGCAGUUUCUGACACUGAGGCGCGACAGCGUGGGGAGCAAACAGG
rnacentral:rRNA from 1 species